rnacentral:rRNA from 1 species
AACGAACGCUGGCGGCAGGCUUAACACAUGCAAGUCGAGCGCCCCGCAAGGGGAGCGGCAGACGGGUGAGUAACGCGUGGGAACGUACCCUUUGCUACGGAAUAGCUCCGGGAAACUGGAAUUAAUACCGUAUGUGCCCUACGGGGGAAAGAUUUAUAGGCAAAGGAUCGGCCCGCGUUGGAUUAGCAAGUUGGUGGGGUAAUGGCUUACCAAGGCAACGAUCCAUAGCUGGUCUGAGAGGAUGACAAGCCACAUUGGGACUGAGACACGGCCCAGACUCCUACGGGAGGCAGCAGUGGGGAAUAUUGGACAAUGGGCGCAAGCCUGAUCCAGCAAUGCCGCGUGAGUGAUGAAGGCCUUCGGGUUGUAAAGCUCUUUCGCACGCGACGAUGAUGACGGUAGCGUGGGAAGAAGCCCCGGCUAACUUCGUGCCAGCAGCCGCCGUAACAC